rnacentral:rRNA from 1 species
UGGCUUAACCAUAGAACUGCAUGUGAAACUACAACCCUAGAGUGUGGGAGAGGUAGGUGGAAUUCUUGGUGUAGGGGUAAAAUCCGUAGAGAUCAAGAGGAAUACUCAUUGCGAAGGCGACCUGCUGGAACAAUACUGACGCUGAUUGCACGAAAGCGUGGGGAGCAAACAGGAUUAGAUACCCUGGUAGUCCACGCCCUAAACGAUGGAUGCUAGUUGUUGGGGGGCUUUGUCCUCCCAGUAAUGCAGCUAACGCCUUAAGCAUCCCGCCUGGGGAGUACGGUCGCAAGAUUAAAACUCAAAGGAAUAGACGGGGACCCGCACAAGCGGUGGAGCAUGUGGUUUAAUUCGAAGAUACACGAAGAACCUUACCUAGGCUUGACAUUGAAGGAAUCUGCUAGAAAUAGCGGAGUGUCUAGCUUGCUAGACCCUGAAAACAGGUGCUGCACGGCUGUCGUCAGCUCGUGUCGUGAGAUGUUGGGUUAAGUCCCGCAACGAGCGCAACCCUCUUUCUUAGUUGCUAACAGGUUACGCUGAGCUCUCUAAGAAGACUGCCUGCGUAAGCAGGAGGAAGGUGAGGACGACGUCAAGUCAUCAUGGCCCUUACGCCUAGGGCUACACACGUGCUACAAUGGGGCGCACAAAGAGAUGCAAUGCUGCGAAGCUGAGCCAAUCUUCAAAACGCCUCUCAGUUCGGAUUGUAGGCUGCAACUCGCCUGCAUGAAGCUGGAAUCGCUAGUAAUCGCAAAUCAGCCAUGUUGCGGUGAAUACGUUCCCGGGUCUUGUACUCACCGCCCGUCACACCAUGGGAGUUGUGUUUGCCUUAAGUCAGGAUGCUAAAGCAGCUACUGCCCACGGCACACACAGCGACUGGGGUGAAGUCGUAACAAGGUAACCGUAGGUGAACCUGCGGUUGGAUCACCUCCUU